ensembl:lncRNA
CUCAGCCUGCACUCCAGAUCAGGCCAUGCUCUCAGCUACCAUAUUCCUUUGAUGGCAUUUGGAGGCUGCUGGUGCCCAGCAUCAAUUAGAGCAAAGAGGGCAAUAAGGGCAGCAGGAGCUCCCUUUGCUUCAGGGGUGUCUCCAGGAGUGGAUGUGCAGAGCAGGUGUGUUCAAUUUGUGCCUGAAGUUGUUGUGUUGUUGAGUUGGUACAAUGGAAUAAAAGUUGAAAUGCUCUGGGUAAAGUGCUGCAGAAGACUGCCAGUGGUAUUUUUUUUAGUUUGUUGAGUAGGUAUGAAUUGUAGGUAGGUAGGAAGGGUGUGCAAGCUUUUUUCAGCCUAAGUUUAAUGCAACAGCUGUGCUGCAUUAGCUUUGCUCUGUAGGCACCUGUGAGCUGCUGGGAGGGGCUGUGAAGCUGUGCCACUGCCUUAAAGGUGCAGGAAGGGUGGGCUUUGUGGUGUGAAUCUCUUUCUCUUCUCCAGGUCUGUGAUGUGAGUUGAGAUGUCCUAUCUGCAAGUUCCCCCCAGCUGCGUGAGCUUGCAGAAGAACCAGUUCUGCUCAGCUUUGGCUUUUGAAGAGAAGAAAUGAUUGCUGGAGAAGCUCAGCUGGGCAGCAGGCUGCUGCGUUGGGCUGCUGCGUUGGGCUGCUGCGUUGGGCACGGUGUAGGAAAUGAAACACACCACUCUGUGGGAUUGCUGCCCUGGGCGAUGGGAGAACUUGGCUUUAAAAGAAAAGCAGAGAUUUCUUUUCCCCCAUCCAUUUGUGCAGAAAAACCCUCUGAGCGGGGCGUGAUUUCCUCCCUUGGCUGAGAUCACCUGCCUCUGGCUCUCAGCUACCAGCAGCCCGGGUGUCCAAAAUAAGAUGUGGGCACUCAUUGUGGUUGCUGGGCAAAGCUUGCUCUUCCUCAGACCCAGCCCAGGAGUAUGUUGGGGUGUGGUGUGGUGCAGAGGGUGCUCUGUAACACGUGGGCACUUUGGGCUGGAGGGCUGGGAGCAACCUGUGGGAUGGGAAGGAGUACACAGCCAUGGACGACCUCAAUGGGACAGAAGGCCUCCCAGACCCUGCAGUGAGGAGAAUGAGCUCAAGCUGGAGGAAGGGCAGCUCUCACCUGCAGAUGCCUCCUCUGAAAAGAAGGGUGCCCCAAGAGUAGGGCCUAAAAUGGGUGAAUCUGCCACUAACUGUCCAUUCCCCAGAGGUAUCAGAAAGAAGUCAGGAUUUUGUUUUCUUUCUGCUUUCAAACUCCAUUGGGAUUUUGUGUGUAGCCCCACUAAGUUAAUGAACACAGAUGGGUGCCAAUAGGAGUUUAUUUUGUGGCUAGGGAUUCAGGAAGAGCUCCAGAGCAGACAAUCCUCCCACCAUUUGCAUUGAAUCAUAGGCUCUUAGAGCCAUUAUGGUUGGAAAAGACCUCUAAGAUCAUCCAGUCCAACCCAGCCCCCCCCCACCAUGCCCACUGACCACGUCCCUCAGUGCCACAUCUCUAAGGACGGUGACUCCACCACCUCCAUCACCACUCUUUCUGAGAAGAAGUAUUUCCUCAUAUCCAGGCUGAACGCUGACCUGCCUGGAGCCACCACAUCUUCAGCAGCUCUCCUACUGCAGCUUCUUUUUGUAAUGAAAAACUAUGGGAUUUGCAAAGGAAGAUGAGACUGUCUUCUAUCUGAGCAACAUACUGUAGCAAAUCUGUGGUAGCUCAGUGUUCACCAAGUGGAGAGCACCAGGGCUCCCAGACAGGAGGAUGGAGCUCACUACAUCAAGCACAGCAAGCCAGGAGCUUCUUGAAUUGCUUCUGUUCUGCUGAGACUGGAAUUUGUUGGAGAGAUGACUUUUCACACCAUCAAGGCCACUUUCUCAGCUUAUUGACAGCUUUAUGAGCGCUGUUGGAAGAGCCCCAGCUUCGUUCCUCGGCUCCGGCUUUCCGUCGGGCGAGAGUGACAGAUGGCUGCGGCUGGGAUGGAGCCGUUCCUUUCCCUGCUCAGAAGAGGGCAAUCAGCAAAACCUCAGGGCAGCUCCAAGGGACAUGAGAGUCUUGCUUUACACACGCACAGAGCAGCCCUGGAAGGAGUGAAAUGAAGAACUGUCAAGGAAAGUUGGAGGAGUUGUGCUGUCCCAAGCGUGCAGGCACGGUGCUUGUAAAACCACAGGGUGUGAGCGUGGUAUUAGCAAGCCUUUGUGUCAUCUCCAGGGGAGAGCUGAGUCCCAUUGAAGGCAGAGGACAGACGUCAUUCAGAGUUCGCUUCCUCUGCAUCAGAGAUGGCAAAAAGUAAUAUAAACACAGGAGAAGGAGAAGAAAGAAGAAAUAGAGACGUUGGAAGCAAUGUGCAGGAUUUCCUGACGGGAUAUUUCAGGAGCCCUGUCACUGAGCCCUAGGGCCUGCAGCAGGAUGGAGGGCUGAGGAUGGAUUUGUUUAAAAGGCAGAAGCCCUGCAGCCAAGACACCCAAACCCUGCUCAUUGCCUUGGCCUUGCUGCAGCAGGUAGCCAAGCAGCUGGCUGUGUGAGUGUGCGGCGCGUGGCUCAGCACAACCUGUGCUCCAGAGGACGUCCAGGAGAGAUUAGCAGCACCUGCACUGUCACAGAGACUGAACCUCAGGCUCUGAACAGAAAGGUAAGCAUUUAGGACCCCAGCCCAGGAUGACAAUAACCAGAGCAGAAACGUUUCCAUCCCACUGAAGCCUGCUUUAGGCAUUUGAACCCAGAAUUUUUCUCUAGGGUUAACAAGGGAGAGCUGCCUGUUCAUGGCCCUUCACUUCACCGCAUUAAACCCUGCUCACAAACUCUGCCUCUCUCCUCCCCCUUCCUUUAACUCAUGCUCAAGACCCCAGUGGCGAAUAUCUUGAAAAGGCAGACAAAUCGGCUUUGUAAAAAGCAGAUUAAAUUGACAGUGCAUUUAUUGCAGCACUCUGAUGUUAACCCCUUGUUGUGCUGGUCUUGGGCAACCUUCUUGCCCCAGCAAUGCGUUGCAGUGGUGGUGGGAUAGGUAGGAUUGAGUUUGUGUUGGGAGAUGUGUUGGAGAGCCUUUCUUGCCCAGGAGGCUAAAUCAGUACUGGAGUGGUUGUUGCCUUCCCUGGUGUGUGAAAAUGAGGGGUUGGAGCCAGAGGUCUGGGCAGGGCCUUGUGGAUGCCUGGGGACUGUCUGGGGAAUGCAUUCCCUUUGAGAGCAGAAUGGGUUCAGGGAAAGAAGAAAAGUGAAGCAGCUGAAAAUCAAAAAUGUCUCACGUUGUGUUCAUCUGAAGUCCUGAGUGAUGUGUGAACUCUCUUUCAGUAGCUGUCCAUGAAAGAAGGCAUAUUCCCAUAGAAGUUACUCACAGGUUCUUGAUCAGCUCAAACAAGCACAACGUCUUCCUGCUGGAUAAAGCCACUUCAGCUGUAGGCCUGUUGCUGAGAUGUGAGGUUCUGCCCUGCUCUCACCAGAGGAGUGAGAUGUGAGAGCCGUGUGGAUGCUGGGCAGCCUUCCCUGGCUCACCAUAAAGGCAGCUUUGCCCUUCACAUUCCCCUUUGAUUUGUGAUGGUUGAGCCAAGGGAGCUGCAGACCAAGCAGGGACCUGGGAAACAUUGGCUCUUCGUAUUCAGCUGGGCCAAAUGAAAUGACUUCCCAUCUUCUGUUACUCACGGCGUAGUAACAGAAGAGGAAGAAAUGUUUUCCCCUUUCAGAAGUCCUGGAAGAGUCAGAGUGGUGCCUUCUCUGCACAAGGUGCAAACACAUUGGUGUUAACAAGUCCCAGCCCUGGAGGGCCCCUUCUUCUCUGGGAGCCAGAACUGUUUGUAAAACUGCUAAGGGACAGCUUGCAGCAUUCGUUAUUUACUGUGACAGUUUGAGCACCACCAACUGCUGGUGACCAAAAUACCACGGAUCAGAC